rnacentral:lncRNA from 1 species
AUUAUCUCCAACAAUCUUGAGGAGCAGAUCAUUCCUGGUGGUAGUGGCAAGCUUUCCUGCAACUACACAGUAUCUGGAGGAGGAAGUGUCUUAUGGUAUCGCCAAUAUCCCAGAUCUUCUCCUAAUUUCCUACUCCUUAUCUCAGUGUAUUCAGCAUCUGCUGACACAAUAGUCACUGCCAUUCCACCAUAUCAUCGACUAUCAGUUAGCAUUGAUAAAGAGGACAAACUUGUGGAUCUGGAGAUCUCCUUUGCUGAAGUGAAAGACUCUACUCUUUACUACUGUACCCUGGAACACUAUACAAAAAAUAUCCAACUUCUGCAUUGUCACUUAAUUCUUUGCUGUUUUAUCAACCACAGUGACACAUUGCAGGGAAUUAACUGCUUUAAAAUAAAUUACUGUACAACUUUGUUUGACUAAACAUUGUCAGUAGGGGGAGCUUCAGUAUAAAACUUAAGAUUGGAUUCAGAAUCAAGUCACAAGACAUGAUACUACCAGGAAGUGAGUUAUCAGUUGAUGUUGAGCUUUUAGUCAGCAACUGGUGUUCAUGCUUCACAACCUGUCAUCUACAAUGUUGUCCUCUUUACUUUUACUAUAUUUACAGAUGAUAGGUCUCAGUUCAGAACAGGGAAUUACAGCCUACACUGAUGUACAACUGGCUACAGAAAAGGACAGAGUUAAACUUUCAUGCAACUACACCUCUGGAGACACACUUCAAUGGUAUCGUCAAUUUCCCCAGGCAGCACCACAGUUAUUAAUUAUGGAACAUAUACCUUCUCAAACUGAAAGGAUCACUCUAAACAAUGACAAAAAUGCCAAACGUCUGGAUCUGGAGAUCUCCUCAGCUGAAGUGACAGACUCUGCUCUGUACUACUGUGCAAAGAGGCCCACAGUGACAGGAAACCCAGACACACUGUACAAAAACCUAUAACAUCUGAUGAAGGGAAGGUGGUUAUCAACAGGAAUAAGAAUGAAUAUUUAAAAUACUACAUUUUAGCCACAGCCCAAACCCUAGCUUCAUGCCCAAACACAAGUAACACCUACCCACAUUUAGUCAACUUUCCAGAUCAGCAAAACACCUAUAGAUUUACACCUCCUCAUUCUAAAAUCCUUGAGUCUGAGAAUCUUGGUCAGAUUGUACAGGUCAUGAAUAAUGGCUCAUAAAAGUUAUAAUUAUUUAUUAACUUGGCUUACCCAGUAAUUUUACCCAGCCACCCCUGACAUAUAUAUAUAAUGGGGUGUCCAGGUCAGUCUACUGAUAUUAGUUUGUGUUUCAUGUUCAGAUGAUGUAACCAGUUGUGUCCUAAAUAAACCAAGG